GGGUCGGGAGGCUGCGGUUUUCCUUGGGUUUCAGGGUGAGGAUGGAGGAGAAAGCUGGGGCCAAAGGGCGAAGCGGGCUGGGCCAAGAACGAACGCCUUGGCUUGGUUGUGGGGGGUGGGGGUUCGCGCUAAUGCGCAGAGAAGGGCCGGCCGCCCCCUUCCCUGUGCACCCUUGCGCCGCUGCAGAUGGCGCACCCUCCCCCGCCAAAGCGCGCCUCCAGCCCGAGCGCCGUCGCCAUGUCGUUGAACUUGAAUGGUUCGUCCUCCCCCGUUUCCCUCUUUAACGGUCAGCAGACUCCACUUUGGGGGCAGCGGGCUGCCUGCGCCCCACCCGUGCAGAGAGAAGGUGCCAAAAUCUUGCGCACUUGCAGACACAUAAAGAGCCAGCCGGGGGGCACCCCGCGGCCCCUGCCCUGGGUCUUGAGCGGCCGCGGGGCUAAUGUGCAGUGUCCGGGGAGCCAUUUUAGGAGAGAGAUCCUGGGGCGUCAACUCCGAGCCCGAAAGGGAGAGGUUUGGGCAGAGAUGGAGAUGGGGAGGCAGACAAGUGUGCCAGCGGUCUAGGCUGAGGAGAAGGGGGCGAGCUGGAAUCUGGGCGAGGGUGUCAGCUAUGUGGAGGGUGCAUGCAAGGAUGGGCAGUUCUUGGAUGGGGGGGUUUCUUGCUCUCCAGCCCCACCGACCUGUUUGCGCAGUGUUCGGAGGGAAGCUGAGGUGGGAGGGGGCGGAGGAGAGAAAGUGGGAGGGAGAAUGGGAGGGAGGAGAUAAAAGAGGAAGGGGGGAACAUUGGUCAGAAAAAUAGAUAUGCGCUCUGAUCACCCGCCUUUUCUCUGUCAGUCGGCAUGGUGGGCAGAGCUCACGGCACGGGCACUGCGGCGACCGGGGCCAGGGAGGGAACCAGCCUCACAACCUGCACUGCCUCUCUCGGGCGCAGGGCUGAGGCCUGGGACCAAUGCUGGGAUUGAUUGCCUGGCAGAGGAAUCCUGGGGAGCGAGAGGCAACCUCCUGCCCUGAGUUCCGGGAUUCGGAUUUGGGGAGCUUUUUGCCAAGAGACUGGUUUCACCUUUGGAAAACGCUGGCUUUCCUGAGGCUGAGCCCAGGCCUCGCCUGGACCCACCCCACUCCCCCACCCCACGGGCUAGAAAAGAGGGACGCAGCCGCCGAGGAGAGUGAGGCCUUGGGGAGAGUGGAUGGGGGGCCCUCAGGGUCGAGUGGAGAAGAGGGGCUUAAACCAGGAGGCAAGAGCGGCUGAGAGCCCGCCCCUCACCCCCAGAGCCAACGGACCUCCGGGGAGCCCACAGUGGCCCUGCGGGCCCUAGGGUGCUGCAGAAGCCUAGGGGAGACGCAGCACGGAUGCGUAGGCCUUGGCGGGGCUCCGACACAGGGAAGGAGCUGGAUGUGAGGCUGGUUGGUCUUAUCCAGGCCAGAAGGCAGAGAGGGUGAGACGGGCGGAGGCACCGGCGGUUUGUCUCUGCUUUCUUGCUUGCGGAAAAGCGGGAAGCCAGGCACCCUGAGAGUAGGACUUCAGAUCCUUUUGUUCAGCAGACCCCCAAGCUUCUGGAGGGCCACGGGGUAUCUCCGCUGGCUGAACUCCCUCCUUGCUUUAGCACUGCAAGAGACAAGGCGGAGAGGCGACAGGGAGAGAGAUUGAGGCGGGGACACAUAGCUGGGGCAAAGGAGAAUAGAGGGUCAGGGGACCGAGUGAGCCAGCGGCAAGGAGGGGAGUAAAGUAACAGGAAGGAAGAAGAAAAAAGGAAACAGGGAAGUGAGAGGAGAGAGGACGGAGAGACAAGUGAGAAGACUGAAGGGGGACAAGGAAGGAGAAAGAGAAGAGAAGGCGACAGGGCCGAGUGGGCACCGAGACCCUGAGCCGGGUGAGCUUCUGGUAGGCUUUUGGCUGAGUGUUUUGAGGCUGGCAUUCGCGCUCCGGGUCGGCAGUAGAGAGAGCCAAGUUACUGCUCGGCGUGAGCGCCGGGCAGAGAAAUAUGUAAAUCAGGGCUCCUGGCUCCCCGAGAGCGGCGCAAUUACGCGCCUUGAACUAGAAGCAACAAGCUCCUGGCGGGCAAACUGAAGAGGGUGGCGGCGUCACGGGGGAGGGAGCGGCUGCAGGAAGGGGUGUAGGGGGUGGGACCCUCACACCCUCACACCUAGUCCCCUGUGCCUGGAGCCGGGGCUCCCCCUCCGAGCUCCGCUUCUUUCCCUUCCCCCUUCCUCCCCCUUCCUCCCCCUCCCUCCUCCUCCUCCUCCUUGCCGGCCUCAGUCCGCGUACUUAAAGCGGCGCUGGCAGGCGCGGGCGGGCGGCCCAGCCGGGCGGUGGCAGAUGCACCCAGCAGUGGCAGCCGCCGGCGGCGCACAGGUGACCGGCCUGCUGCACAGCCUGGUCAGGGGGCUCCCGGAGAGAGCUGGCUGGAGAGGGAGGCCGAUCUGCCCCCAGCGCGCGCGCGUCUCGGCGCCAGGAGCCGUCCCGGGGCGUGUUGGCGAGCACUGAUAUAGAUAUAAGGACAUUUCUCUCCAUGGCGUCACGUGACAUAAUUACCACCAGAAUCAAUCAAGAUGAAUUGCACGUCAGCGCCCGGUGGGGAUUUUUGCUUAGUUGAUCCUGGCCCAAGCCUCUUGUGCAAUCGAUGGCUCAGGUUGGCGGCGCGGGGAGCGGCCCAGGGCUCGCCGGCGCGCACGCCGCGGAGCCAUGAACGACUUUGACGAGUGCGGCCCGAGCGCAGCCAGCAUGUACCUGCCCGGCUGCGCCUACUAUGUGGCCCCGUCGGACUUCGCCAGCAAGCCGUCGUUCCUGUCGCAACCGUCGUCCUGCCAGAUGACUUUCCCCUACUCUUCCAACCUGGCGCCGCACGUCCAACCCGUGCGCGAAGUGGCCUUCCGCGACUACGGCCUGGAGCGCGCCAAGUGGCCAUACCGCGGCGGCGGCGGCAGCGGCGGCGCAGGGGGAGGCGGCGGCGGGGGUGGCCCCGGCGGGGGCGGCAGUGGCGGCGCCGGGGGCUACGCUCCCUACUACGCGGCUGCUGCUGCGGCGGCGGCGGCGGCGGCGGCGGCCGAGGAGGCGGCCAUGCAGCGCGAGCUGCUCCCGCCCGCGGGCCGCCGGCCGGACGUGCUCUUCAAGGCGCCCGAGCCGGUAUGCGCCGCGCCUGGGCCGCCGCACGGCCCUGCGGGCGCCGCCUCCAACUUCUACAGCGCCGUGGGCCGCAACGGCAUCCUGCCUCAGGGCUUCGACCAGUUCUACGAGGCUGCGCCCGGGCCCCCGUUCGCCGGGCCGCAGCCCCCUCCUCCGCCCGCGCCGCCGCAGCCCGAGGGCGCCGCCGACAAGAACGACCCCAAGACGGCGGCCAGUGGCGGCGGGGGAAGUCCCUGCGCCAAGACGACCCCCGGCUCGGAGCCCAAGGGGGCGGCAGAAGGCGGCGACGGCGAGGUGCCCCCGGGGGAGGCGGGGGCUGAGAAGAGUGGAGGCACAGUGGCCCCCCAGCGGUCUCGGAAAAAGCGCUGUCCCUACACCAAGUACCAGAUCCGCGAACUGGAACGCGAGUUUUUCUUUAACGUGUACAUAAACAAAGAGAAAAGACUCCAACUCUCUCGGAUGCUCAACCUUACUGACCGGCAAGUCAAAAUCUGGUUCCAGAAUCGCAGGAUGAAAGAAAAGAAACUGAACAGAGACCGUCUGCAGUAUUUCACUGGAAACCCCUUAUUUUAAGAGCUCCAGGAGCACCCCUCUCCCCUGAGCCCCACGCACCCACUCUCUUCCCCACCAGCCUGCCCUGAGCAGGCCCAAUGUCCUUGGGUUUAAUGACGCCUCUUCUCUGUGGAACUCCACGAUUCCUUCCCACGGUCAACUCGGGACCUCCCGGCGACCACUGCAGCCUGCGGACGAGGUCGGGGACUUGGCCGAACGGAUCCUAAUAAGGGGAAAAUGGACCUUUCCAGAAGUCCCGGAGAAGACAAGGCACCCUGGCCGCCACGGUCCGCGCAGUGCUGACACUUCCGAAGGCAGACAGAGCCCGGGCGGUGGCCGCCGGCCGCGCCCAGCCCAAGGGCCAGGCCGCCCCAGCUCAACCCUCCGGCCUCGGCGUGUGCUCAGCCUCACGUCGAGGGUGUGUGUCUGCGCGGGCGUGUGUGAGUGUGGUAGGGGGAGGGGGGCCUUUCGAGCUGCUCCAUCCGUCCGUUUUAUUAGGGACACAUUAAUCUAUAAUCAAAUACACCUCAUAAAAUUUUUAUUGAAAGGCAUAAUAUCAUUACAGAGGUCUUCCACCUGUUUUAAACAACACGACAAGCUGUGAGAGAGCGUGUGUGGGUGUGCGUAGGCAGGGGUGGGCUGGGGCCGGGAGAGAAGCACCGGGAGAACUCCCCUCGGGCGCCAGGGGGCCGCCUCGGAAGGCCGGCCUGCCUCUGGCCGCACAGGCACGCGCUCCCCGCCCCCGGCCGCUCUGGGCUCUGCCAAGUGCUCGGUGCGCCCAGAACUCACGGCCGGGAGCUCGGAGCCCAGACGCUUGAGGAAGCAGCCCCAGUCCGGACUGCAAGACCGAGGGCGGCAAGAAGAGGCGAACAAAUAGUCCCCAGCGCCUCCUGCGGCCGCGGUCGGGGCGCGUGGUCCCAGUCGCCGCCGGGUUGGCCGAGUCAGGCCGGGCCGAGCUCGGCUCACGGGCCGGGACCCGUGGGCUCUAAUUGCUGCUCUUAUGUUGAUGAUGAUUUUUUUUUUUUUUUUAAAUCACAGCAGCCCCCAGUUUAGCGGACUGAUUUACUCCUGGUAUUGGACUGAGUGCUCCGCGGCCCGAGAGUCCCAGGGGAGCGGCGGUCCCGAGUUCUCGUGCAACUCGUUCCUACGGGACAAGGUGGCAGCGGCGGCGGCUGGGGGAACC